rnacentral:rRNA from 1 species
UACGGGAGGCAGCAGUGGGGAAUAUUGCACAAUGGGCGCAAGCCUGAUGCAGCCAUGCCGCGUGUAUGAAGAAGGCCUUCGGGUUGUAAAGUACUUUCAGCGGGGAGGAAGGUGUUGUGGUUAAUAACCACAGCAA